rnacentral:lncRNA from 1 species
CUCCCUUCUGCCUCUAGUAGUCCCCAGUGUCUAUUGUUCCCUUCUUUAUAUCCGUAUAUACUCAGUGUUUAGCUCCCACUUGUAAAUGAGAACAUGCAGUAUUUGGUUUUCUGUUCCUGCAUUGUUUACUUAGGAUAAUGGCCUCCAACAGCAUCCACAUUGCUGCAAAGGACAUGAUUCUGUUCUUUUUUAUGGCUGCGCUGUAUUCCAUGGCGCAUAUAUAUAUAUAUAUAUAUAUAUAUAUAUAUAUAUAUAUCACAUUUUCUUUAUCCAGUCCACCAUUGAUGGGCACCUAGGUUGAUUCCACGGCUUUGCUAUUGUGAAUAGUGCUGCAAUGAACAUAUAAGUGCAUAUGUCUUUUUGGUAGAACAAUUUAUUUUCUUUUGGGCAUAUACCCAGUAAUGGGAUUGCUGAGUUGAAUGGUAGUUCUGUUUUAAGUUCUUUGAAAAAUCUCCAAACUACUUUCCACAGUGCAUUCCCACCAUUGGUGUAUAAACAUCCCUUUUCUCCACAGCCUCGCCAGCAUUUGUUAUUUUUUUGACUUUUUAAUAAUCGCCAUUCUGACUGGUUUUGCAGAUGCUACUUUCAUACUAUAAAAAAUACUAUUCAGCCUGACAAGGUGGCUCACGCCUAUAAUCCCAGAACUUUGGGAAGCUGGGGCAGGCAGAUCCCUUCAGCCCAGAAGCUCGAGAUCAGCCUGGGCAACAUGGCCAAACCACGUCUCUACAAAAAAAAACAAAAAUUAGUGGGGCGUAGUGGUACACGCCUGUAGUCACGGCCACUUGGAAGGUUGAGGUGGAAAGAUCACUUGAGCCCAGGAGGUUGAGGCUGCAGCGAGCUGAGAUUGCCACUGCACUCCAGCCUGGCAACAGAGCAAGACCCUGUCCCAAAAACAAACAAACAAAAAAUGAAACAAAACAAAUAUAUAUUUUUCCAAUGUUGUAGUUUUUUUUAUUCCACUCUUUUGUACUAUAAUUAUGCUUUCCAUAAUUAUGGAAGCACUAAACAAUAUUGAACCUAGCGUGGCCAUUUUAAGUUCUCUGGGGACCCAGGCUCUCUUUCUCUGAAGACCCAAUCUCUUCAACUUAGCAAAUAUAUUUAAAUGAACCUAUUGCAUCCAUAAACCAUAAUAAACAAGUUUUUCUUUAAAUUUUGGAACAUUAAUAAGUUUUGCUCUUCAAUGAUUUGAUUAUGAUUGGUACUAUAGAAUGAUUGACUGAUUUAUCACACAUCAUCAAACAUACUUGGGAAUUCUUGCCAAGUGAGUAAAUCUAAGUUACAAAUGGAAUGAAAUUUUAUUAAUAGUAAAUUAAUAAAAUCAGUGUAAUUUUAUAUUUUGUAACCAUUAAAUAAUCAUUCAUUAGUUUAUCUUUUAUAGUUUCUCUUUCUGUUUUGGAAUCAAUUAUAGUUGGCCUCUCAUAACCACAGAUUUCACAUCCACAGGUUCAACCAACCAUGAAUCAAAAAAAAAAAAUAUAUAUAUAUAUAUAGGAUAAUUUCACCUGUACUGAACAUGUACAGACCUUUUUUCUUGUCAUUAUUCCCUAAACAAUAGAGUAAAACAACUAUCUGCAUAGCAUUUACACUGUAUUAGAUAUUUUAAGUAAUCUAGAGAUGAUUUAAAGUAUAGGUUAUAUGAAAAUGCUACAUCAUUUUAUAUAAGGAACUUGAAUAUCCUUGGAUUUUGGUAUCUGCAGGGGGUCUUGGAACCAACCCCCUAGAGAUACUGAGAGAUAACUAUAAUUCUUUUUAAAUUCUCAAACAUUUCUGAAUCCUGUGAGCAGCUAAUCAGCCCUGGGCACAAUGGCUAUAUGACUUUGGACAUAAGAAUUAAUACCCAAUUGCUUCAGCUGCCAAAUUCUGAUCCUGGUUCUAUCCCAGAUAUACUCCUGGGAAGUGCUCAGGUUCAAUGUCAUAAUCUUUUCUUUAUUUAUGAUACAGUCACUUUAUUAAUUGUUGUUAAUAAUACCUAUGUGGAAGCAAAGCAUUUGUUCUUUUCUUCAUUAAAUAAUGACAUAUGAUUGAUACUUUUAUACACUUCAAAUAAUUAAUAAAUGGUUAAGGGGAUCAGAACAUGCCACCUCCAAUUAUGCCACUUUGGUAUAUUAGUUAUUUUGAGCUGAAGGCAAUUGAGAAGCAGCAGAUGCAGGAAGGGCUCUCUGACCUUCCCGCUUCUACUUCAAAGCAGGGCAUACAUUUCCCAGAAUAAAAGUGCCUUUCCUGUCCCAGGAAGAGCAGAACAUUUUUAUCACCUGAGAUGGGGAGUUAACAGCAAGAUGAAUCCAUACCAACUUACUAAAAUAACCCUUCUCUUCCAUUAGUUUCCCCCUAUAUUUCCUAGUUGCUUUCCCAUGAUUUACUGCUCUAGCCCAGUUUUUUUUUUUUUUUUUUAGACAGAGUCUUGUUCUGUCACCCAGGCUGGAGUGCAGUGGCACAAUCGGCUCACUGCAACCUCUGCCUCCUGGGUUGAAGUGAUUCUCCUGCCUCAGCCUCCCGAGUAGCUGGGACUACAGACACGUGCCACCAUGCCCAGCUAAUUUUUUGUAUUUUUAGUAGAGAUGGGGUUUCACCAUGUUAGCCAGAAUGGUCUCAAUCUCCUGACCUCGUGAUCCACCUGUCUCAGCCUCCCAAAGUGCUGGGAUUACAGCCAUGAGCCACCGCACCCGGCCAGUAGACGGGGUUUCGCCAUGUUGGCCAGGCUUGUCUCAAACUCCUGACCUCAGGUGAUCCGCCCGCCUCAGCCUCCCAAAGUGCUGGGAUUACAGGCAUGAGCCACCACACUCAACCCAAACUUCUUUUUUCUUUGUCUUAUUGCAACUCAAAAAUUUAUCAUUCUUUGUUAAAAUUGCAUAUAGGCUCUCAGACCUAUCUGCUUCUUUAGGUCUUCAUUUCUGAUAUACAAAGGCCUCUAUAUAUACAUAAAAAUAUUGACAUCAAGUAAAAUGUGUAUGCUUUUCUCUUGUUAAUUUAUCUUUUGUCAGUUUAAUUAUCAGACCAGCCAUAGAACUUAAGAGGGUAGAAGAAAGUCUUUCCUGCCCUACAAUGGUAAUAUAUAAUACAACAAAUACCCUUUUAUUAACACAUAUUUAUCAGCAAAUUCUAGAAUUUCCUUCCUCCAAAAUUUUGGCAGGGUAAAUUGUUCUACUUUGUUGAAAUUAACAUAUGCAUUAAAAACAUAUCAUUUUUCCUUGUCCCAUGCUCAUUUUAUACUUUCUGUCUUCACUGACCCUUGCAGCCUCAUGAUUAGGCUUUUUAGUCUCUGGACGUAGGUUCUUGGGGAUACCAGAACUCAAUGUCCACUGGAGUAACAGCUUCAGGACUGUCAUUCUAAGGUCCACAGUUACUUCACAUCCUUAGGUUCUCUGUGGUGGCUAGACACCCCUACUUCCUAUUUCUGCAUUAUCUUUUUUUCUAAAUAUUCUCAAAUGAAUAACUCCUUUUAUACUAAAAAUUCUCCAAGUUUUGGAAAAAUAUAGAGGAAAAAAGUUCUGAUUUUAUAAUUUUCUGCCAGAUAAACUCAAAGUUGGGAAGAGAUUACUUUAAUCAUAAUACAGUUGAAUAUGUAGGAAAAUGUUAAAGACAGGUAGAAAGUACAAUGACAACACACUGGGGGGAGUUCAUUCAGCCACCUAUGUCAGGACCACCUGGGGGUCUAGAUAAAAACGUGUUUUUUGGAUUACCCCCCAGAACUGAGUCAGAUUAAAGUAACAUUUUUAAUCCGCUCCCUGGCAUUUCUGAAACAUUCUAUAGUUUGAGAACUGGUAGAACUUGCAGUUAUAGACACUAUUGGCCCACACAACACCUUUUUUGUCCUGCACCCAUUCAGAAGCAUAAAACUAUUUUUGCAUGGACUCUAUUCCAAGUCAUAUUUGCAGUGUGAAGAAGGGUGAUGGAAGACAGCAGUUCCUCCCUCUGACCACAAGGGAGAAUUUCCUUUUGAGGCUUCCAGGCCACCCUAUGAUUCCAGAGGAUAGGCCUUAGUACAGAAGGGCAGAGAAUAGCCAGGCUGUUCAUGUGGAAAGAGAAGUGUAAUAAUUCCAUAUGGUUUCCUCUUCUCAUGAUGUUACUUCAUUUUCAGAGUCACUGUAGAUGUAGAAAUCAUUACAAAUUUAUGUUGCCUUAAAUGUUAGUCUGUUUUACAAUCUCAGAAAGCCAUUUUAUUUAUUUUAAUGCAAAAAUAUAUUAAUACAUGCUAGAACUUGUUAAAAGUAUAAAUGAUUUAUGAAUUAUAUGUUUUAUUUAGUAAACAUAUUCAUAUGUAAAAGGUAAAGAUAAUAAUUUUCAAAAUAAAUGGUGAUUCUGAUACUAAUGUCUUUAGAGCAGAGGUGUUUCUGCUUUUGGCUUCCCUGGUCCAUAUUGGAAGAAGAAUUGUCUUGGGCCACAUGUAAAAUACACUAACAUUAACAAUAGCUAAUGAGCAAAAAAAAAAAAAAAAAAAAAAAAAAGAAGUCCAUACAUAAAUCUUAUAGCUUUUUUUUUUUUUUGAGACAGAGUUUCGCUCUUGUUGCCCAGGCUGGAGUGCAAUGGCACUAUCUUGGCUAACCGCAACCUCCGCCUCCCGGGUUCAAGCAAUUCUCCUGCCUCAGCCUCCCGAGUAGCUGGGAUUACAGGCAUGCGCCACCACGCCUGGCUAAUUUUGUAUAUUUUAGUGGAGACAGGGUUUCUCCAUGUUGGUCAGGCUGGCCUCGAACUCCUGAGCUCAGGUGAUCCGCCUGCCUCGGCCUCCCAAAGUGCUGGGAUUACAGGUGUGAGCCACUGCGCCUGGCCAAAUCUUAUAACAUUUUAAGAAAGUUUAUGAAUUUGUGUUGGGCUGCAUUCAGAGCUGUCCUGGGCCACAUGUAGCUCGUGGGCUACAGGUCGGACAAGCUUGCUUUACAGCUAUAUCUUGAUUAAAAGAAAAAGGAAAAAAAAAAAGCAAAAAAGUAAAUUACAUCUUUCCCAAUGAUACAAGGUAGGAAGAAAUGAAUGUGAAGUAUAACACUUAAGAAAUACUUCUUAGGGACUUGGCCUAGACCUUACAGAGUGAGCAAUAUUUGAAUUCAUGGAGAAGAUGGGGAACAGAUCACUGACAUAGAAACACAGAUCUGGCACACUAGAGAGUCGUCAGGAAACUGAACUGCAAGGGUGUGAGUGUGAUUGUAUUGGGAAACAAAGAUCAGAAUUAAGAAAAAAAAUACUUCAGGAAAACAACACAUCAGCAACUUUAUCUCCAAUUUUAAUCUCAAUGCCUCUUAUUUUAUUUACAAAUAAUUUUCAUAAAUGUUAGAGAUACAAAGUAAAUGAAGAAGACUAGACAAAUUUUUUUCUGACUUUCCAAGAGUUUGCCAUUUAUCUUGAAAGACAUAAAGAUUUUUUUUUAAUUUAAAAAUUAGUUCACCAUUUAAAACAAUGAACAAUCUAGUGGUAUACAAAAUGGAAGGAGAAGAAAGAAGGCUAUAGGCUUGAAAAAUCAUCUGCUGUGCAAAUUUUCAGAUUAAAUUGAUGGAAAAAUUAUCCAAGUUUGAAGAAUCUAUUCAUUGUGGCCCUUCUGACUGUCAAACAUGUUCCUUGGAUAAUAAAUCAUAUGAUGGCCCUUUAUAUAAUGUGUUUUUAUUUAAAAUUAUCCUUUGUUUAGAUUUUUUUUUUUAAAAAAAAAAGGUGGGUUUUGUUUUCUUAAUGGUACAUAAAAUAAUAGCACAUUUUGUUUUCUUAAUGGUACAUAAAAUAAUAGCACACUUUACAAUUUAGGGUGUUUUAGAUUCGAUGAAAUAUGGUAUAUUUGUUCACAAGUAUGGGUUUAUCUGUAAGAGAGAAUCCUAUAGAAACUGCUGGGUCAAAAGAUACAUGCAUUUAAAACAUUGACAGAUUCUGCUAAACUAUCUUAAAAGCAAAACCAACUAAAGAGUAUCCAUUUCCCCACACUCUCAUCAACACUGGACAUUACCAGUCCUUAAAAUUUUUCUUAUCUGACAGGCUCUCACCACUUCUUCAUUUUGGUGUCAAUCCGGAUAAUUUGAUGUGAUCCCUCAAAUUAUCAUAUGUUCCCCUCUAUGUGUAAUUGGUUCAAAUCUGCAUCACACUUCCCUAGAACAUGGGCCUUGGGACCUACACAUCUUUCUCCUCCUAAGAGAAAAUAAGGGGUCAUUUUCCCAGGGGGUGCUGGUGAGCAUCAUGGACUAUCAGGACAGGAGGGGAGCUCAGACACUGCCAAAUGGAGGGGGUUCUGAAAGGCAUUCAGGAAGGUCUACAGUGUUGCAUUCACGUGGCAGUGGACUCUUUUACAUUUCCAUUUGGAAAAAUAACAAUUAAAAUAAUCCUUUAGCAUCCCCCACUACCCAUUAAAAUGGAAACACUUUGGAAGCCUCUGAAUGCAUGCUCACCGGUACAUGAAGCAUACAUUCCUUGAACAACAGAUAUGCAUUCAUAUGACAGCUGCUUGGGUGGCGUCUCAUGUGAGCUUUGACUACUCUACAGCAAUAUUUUAAAAAGUCAUAUGGUGCUUAAUAUAUACCCAUAAUGAAAUGCUGGCAAAAAGUAGAAAAUAUAAAACGUUUGCUGGAAUAAAGUAAAAAUAAAAUAAAGUAAAUGAGGACCAUAAAAUCAUAAUUCUACGAUUUUGAACCAAGACUAUUUUCAUUCACUAGACCUACAAAUUGCAUUCAGCCCAUCAGACUGUUUAUAUGGCUCAUCACAAUGUCUCUUGUAUCUCUGAAACCAAAGUCAUAAAGAGAAAAUAGUGACAAUUAGAUCCGAUUUGGCCUCUUGUUAUUAGAAAUGAAGACCAGCAAUACCCACAUCAUAAUAUUUGCAGAAUGUCACUUGCAUACAGCAGUCUGAACCCUUCUGUUUUAUCUCAUCAUUUAGACAUACAAAAAGAAAGUAAUAAAAAUAAACCACUUUUUUAAAAAAAUGGAAAAUGCAUAAAUUCCAAACAUUCUAGGGUACAGGUGCACAACGUGCAGGUUUCAUACAUAGGUAUACAUGUGCCAUGUUGGUUUGCUGCACCCAUCAGCUCAUCAUUUACAUUAGGUAUUUCUCCUAAUGCUACCCCUCCCCGAGCUCCCCACCCCCUUACAGGCCCUGGUGUGUGAUGUUCCCCGCUCUGUGUCCAAGUGAUCUCAUUCUUCAAUUCCCACCUAUGAGUGAGAACAUGCAGUGUUUAGUUUUCUGUCCUUGUGAUUGUUUGCUGAGAAUGAUGGUUUCCAGCUUCAUCCAUGUCCCUGCAAAGGACAUGAACUCAUCUUUUUUAUGGCUGCAUAGUAUUCCAUGGUGUAUAUAUGCCACAUUUUCUUUAUCCAGUCUAUCACUGAUGGGCAUUUGGGUUGGUUCCAAGUCUUUGCUAUUGUAAAUAGUGCCGCAAUAAACAUACUUGUGCAUGUGUCUUUAUAGUAGCAUGAUUUAUAAUCCUUUGGGUAUAUACCCAGUAAUGGGAUGGCUGGGUCAAAUGGUAAUUCUAGCUCUAGAUCCUUGAGGAAUCACCACACUGUGUUCCACAAUGGUUGAACUAAUUUACACUACCACCAACAGUGUAAAAGCAUUCCUAUUUCUCCACUUCCUCGCCAGCAUCUGUUGUUUCCUGACUUUUUAAUGAUUGCCAUUCUAACUGGUGUGAGAUGGUAUCUCAUUGUGGUUUUAAUUUGCAUUUCUCUGAUGACCAGUGAUGAUGAGCAUUUUUUCUGUGUCUGUUGGCUGCAUAGAUGUCUUCUUUUGAGAAGUGUCUGUUCAUAUCCUUUGCCCACUUUUUGAUGGGGUUAUUUUUUUUCUUGUAAAUUUGUUUGAGUUCUUUGUAGAUUCUGGAUAUUAGCCCUUUGUCAGAUGGGUAGAUUGCAAAAAUUUUCUCCCAUUCUGUAGGUUGCCUGUUCACUCUGAUGGUAGUUUCUUUUGCCGUGCAGAAGUUCCGUACUUUAAUUAGAUCCCAUUUGUCUAUUUUGGCUUUUGUUGCCAUUGCUUUUGGUGUUUUAGUCAUGAAGUCCUUGCCCAUGCCUAUGUCCUGAAUGGUAUUGCCUAGGUUUUCUUCUAGGGUUUUAUGGUUUUAGGUCUAACAUUUAAAUCCUUAAUCCAUCUUGAAUUAAUUUUUGUAUAAGGUGUAAGGAAGUGAUCCAGUUUCAGCUUUCUACAUAUGGCUAGUCAGUUUUUCCAGCACCACUUAUUAAAUAGGGAAUCCUUUUCCCAUUGCUUGUGUUUGUCAGGUUUGUCAAAGAUUAGAUGGUUGUAGAUGUGUGGUGUUAUUUCCGAGGCCUCUGUUCUGUUCCAUUGUUCUAUAUAUCUGUUUUGGUAUGAGUACCAUGCUGUUUUGGUUACUGUAGCCUUGUAGUAUAGUUUGAAGUCAGGUAGCAUGAUGUCUCCAGUUUUGUUCUUUUUGCUUAGGAUUGUCUUGGCUAUGAGGGCUCUUUUUUGGUUCCAUAUGAACUUUAAAAUAGUUUUUUCCAACUCUGUGAAGAAAGUCAUUGGUAGCUUGAUGGGGAUGGCAUUGAAUCUAUAAAUUACUUUGGGCAGUAUGGCCAUUUUCAUGAUAUAGAUUCUUCCUAUCCAUGAGCAUGGAAUAUCCUUCCAUUUGUUUAUGUCCUCUUUUAUUUCAUGGAGCAGAGGUUUGUAGUUCUCCUUGAAGAGGUCCUUCACAUCCCUCGUAAGUUGGAUUCCUAGGUAUUUUAUUCUCUUAGUGGCAGUUGUGAAUGGGAGUUCACUCAUGAUUUGGCUCUCUGUUUGUCUGUUAAUGGUGUAUAGGAUUGCUUGUGAUUUUUGCACAUUGAUUUUGUAUCCUGAGACUUUGCUGAAGUUGCUUAUCAGCUUAAGGAGAUUUUGGACUGAGACGAUGGGGUUUUCUAAAUAUACAAUCAUGUCAUCUGCAAACAGGGACAAUUUGACUUCCUCAUUUCCUAAUUGAAUACCCUUUAUUUCUUUCUCUUGCCUGAUUGCCCUGGCCAGAACUUCCAACACUAUGUUGAAGUGGUGAGAGAGGGCAUCCUUGUUUUGUGCCGGUUUUCAAAGGGAAUGCUUCCAGUUUUUGCCCAUUCAGUAUGAUAUUGGCUGUGGGUUUGUCACAGAUAGCUCUUAUUAUUUUGAGAUAUGUUCCAUCAAUACAUAGUUUAUUGAGAGUUUUCAGCAUGAAGCGCUGUUGAAUUUUGUCAAAGGCCUUUUCUGCAUCUAUUGAGAUAAUCAUGUGGUUUCUGUCAUUGGUUCUGUUUAUGUGAUGGAUUACGUUUAUUGAUUUGCGUAUGUUGAACCAGCCUUGCAUCCCAGGGAUGAAGCCAAUUUGAUUGUGGUGGAUAAGCUUUUUGAAGUGCUGCUGGAUUUGGUUUGCCAGUAUUUUAUUGAGGAUUUUUGCAUUGAUGUUCAUCAGGGAUAUUGGUCUAAAAUUCUCUUUUUUUGUUGUGUCUCUGCUGGGCUUUGGUAUCAGGAUGAUGCUGGCCUCAUAAAAUGAGUUAGGGAGGGUUCCUUCUUUUUCUGUUGAUUGGAAUCGUUUCAGAAGGAAUGGUACCAGCUUCUCCUUAUACCUCUGGUAGAAUUCGGCUGUGAAUCUGUCUGGUCCUGGACUUUUUUUGGUUGGUAGGCUAUUAAUUGUUGCCUCAAUUUCAGAGCCUGUUAUUGGUCUAUUCAGAUAUUCAACUUCUUCCUUGGUUAUUCUUGGGAGGGUGUAUGUGUCCAGGAAUUUAUCCAUUUCUUGUAGAUUUUCUAGUUUAUUUGCGUAGAGGUGUUUAUAGUAUUCUCUGAUGGUAGCUUGUAUUUCUGUGGGAUCAGUGAUGAUAUCCCAUUUAUCAUUUUUUACUGCAUUUAUUUGAUUCUUCUCUCUUUUCUUGUUUAUUAGUCUUGCUAGCGGUCUAUCAAUUUUGUUGAUCUUUUAAAGAAACCAGCUCCUGGCUUCAUUGAAUUUUGAAGGUUUUUUUGUGUCUCUGUCUCUUUCAGUUCUGCUCUGAUCUUAAUUUCUUGCCUUCUGCUAGCUUGUGAAUCUGUUUGCUCUUGCUUCUUUAGUUCUUUUAAUUGUGAUGUUAGUGUGUCGAUUUUAGAUCUUUUCAACUUUCUCCUGUGGGCAUUUAGUGCUAUAAAUUUCCCUCUACACACUGCUUUGACUGUGUCCCAGAGAUUCUGAUGUGUUGUGUCUUUGUUCUCUUUGUUUUCAAAGAACAUCUUUAUUUCUGCCUUCAUUUCUUUAUUUACCCAGUAGUCAUUCAGAAGCAAGUUGUUCAGAUUCUAUGUAGUUGUGUGGUUUUGAGUGAGUUUCUUAAUCCUGAGUUCUACUUUGAUUGCUCUGUGGUCUGAGAGACAGUUUGUUGUGAUUUCUGUUCUUUUACAUUUGCUGAGGAGUGCUUUACUUCCAAUUAUGUGGUAAAUUUUAGAGUAGGUGCGAUGUGAUGCUGAGAAGAAUGUAUAUUCUGUUGAUUUGGGGUGAAGAGUUCUGUAGAUUUCUAUUAGACCUGCUUGUUGCAGAGCUGAGUUCAGGUCCUGGAUAUCCUUGUUAAUAUUCUGUCUCUUUGAUCUAAGUGACAGUGGGGUGUUAAAGUCUCCCAUUAUUAUUGUGUGGGAGUCUAAGUCUCUUUGUAGGUCUCUAAGGACUUGCUUUAUGAAUCUGGGUGCUCCUGUAUCGGCUGCAUAUAUAUUUAGGAUAGUUAGCUCUUCUUGCGGAAUUGAUCCCUUUACCAUUAUGUAAUGGCCUUCUUUGUCUCUUUUGAUCUUUGUUGGUUUAAAGUCUGUUUUAUCAGAGACUAGGAUUGCAACCCUUGCCUUUUUUUGCUUUCCAUUUGCUUGAUAGAUCUUCCUCCAUCCCUUUAUUUUGAGCUUACAUGUGUCUCUGCACGUGAGAUGGGUCUCCUGAAUACAGCAAACUGAUGAGUCUUGACUCUAUCCAAUUUGUCAGUCUGUGUCUUUUAAUUGGGGCAUUUAGCCCAUUUACAUUUAAGGUUAAUAUUGUUUUGUGUGAAUUUGAUCCCGUCAUUAUGAUGUUCGCUGGUUAUUUUGCCAAUUAAUUAUUGUGGUUUCUUCAUAGCAUCGAUGGUCUUUACAAUUUGGCAUGUUUUUGCAGUGGCUGGUACUGGUUGUUCCUUUCCAUGUUUAGUGCUUCCUUCGGGAGCUCUUGUAAGGCCGGCCUGGUGGUGACAAAAUCUCUCAGCAUUUGCUUGUCUGUAAAGGAUUUUAUUUCUCCUUCACUUAUGAAGCUUAGUUUGGCUGGAUAUGAAAUUCUGGGUUGAAAAUUCUUUUCUUUAAGAAUGUUGAAUAUUGGCCCCCACUCUCUUCUGGGUUGUGGGGUUUCUGCUGAGAAAUCCACUGCUAGCUUGAUAGGCUUCCCUUUGUGGGUAACUCAACCUUUGUCUCUGGGUGCCCUUAACACUUUUUCCUUCAUUUCAACCUUGGUGAAUCUGACAAUUAUGCGUCUUGGAGUUGCUCUUCUCAAGGAGUAUCUUUGUGGUGUUCUCUGUAUUUCCUGAAUUUUAAUGUUGGCCUGCCUUGCCAGGUUGUGGAAGUUCUCCUGGAUAAUAUCCUGCAGUGUGUUUUCCAACUUGGUUCCAUUCUCCCCAUCACUUUCAGAUACACCAAACAAAUAUAGAUUUGGUCUUUUCACAUAGUCCCAUAUUUCUUGGAGGCUUUGUUUCUUUUUACUCUUUUUUCUCUAACCUUGUCUUCUCACUUUAAUUUCAUUAAUUUGAUCUUCCAUCACUGAUACCCUUUCUUCCACUUGAUCGAAUCAGCUAUUGAAGCUUAUGCAUGCAUCAUGUAGUUCUCAUACCAUGGUUUUCAGCUCCAUCAGGUCAUUUAAGGUCUUCUCUACACUGUUUAUUCUAGUUAGCUAUUCAUCUAAUCUUUUUUCAAGGUUUUUAUCUUCCUUUCAAUGGGUUUGAACAUCCUCCUUUAGCUCAGAGAAGUUUGUUAUUACUGAAUUUCUGAAGUCUACUUCUGCCUACUUGUAAAAGUCAAUCUCUGUCCAGCUUUGUUCUGUUGCUGGCGAGGAGCUGCAAUCCUUUGUGGGAGAAGAGGCACUCUGAUUUUUAGAAUUUUCAGCUUUUCUGCUCUGGCUUCUCCCCAUCUCUGUGGUUUUAUCAACCUUUGGUAUUUGAUGUUGGUGACCUACAGAUGGGGUGCUGGUGUAGAUGGCCUUUUUGUUGAUGUUGAUGCUAUUCUUUUCUGUUUGUUAGUUUUCCUUCUAACAGUCAGGUCCCUCAGCUGCAGAUCUGUUGGGGUUUGCUGGAGGUCCACUCUGGAUGCUGUUUUCCUGGGUAUCACCAGCAAAGGCUGCAGAACAGCAAAUUUUGCAGUACAGCAAAUAUUGCUGCCUGAUCCUUCCUCCGGAAGCUUUGUCCCAGAGGGGCCUCCACCCAUAUGAGGUGUCUGUUGGCCCCUGCUGGGAGGUGUCUCCCAGUUAGACUACACGGUGGUCAGGGACCCACUUGAGGAGGCAGUCUGUCCAUUCUCAGAGCUCAAACAUCAUGCUGAGAGAACAUGCUGACUGCUCUCUUCAGAGCUGUCAGACAGGGACAUUUAAGUCUGCAGAAGUUGUCUGCUGUCUUUUGUUCAGCUAUGCCCUGCCCACAGAGGUGCAGUCUAGAGGCAGCAGGCCUUGUUGAGCUGUGGUGGGCUCCGCCCAGUUUGAGCUUCCCGGCUGCUUUGUUUACCUACUCAAGCCUCAGCAAUGGCAGAUGCCCCUCUCCCAGCCAGGCUGCCGCCUUGCAGAUUGAUCUCAGACUGCUGCGCUAGCAGUGUGCAAGGCUCCAUGGGCCUGGGACCCACCGGUCCAGGCACAGGAGAGAAUCACCUUGUCUGCCGGUUGCUAAGACCUUGGGAAAAGCAUUGCAUUUGGGUGGGAGUGCCCCAUUUUCCCAGGUAGUCUGUCACAGCUUCCCUUGGCUAGGAAAGGGAAAUCCCGCAACCCCUUGUGCUUCCCGGGUGAGGUGAUGCCCCGCCCUGCUUCGGCUCACCCUCAGUGGGCUACACCCACUGUCCAACCAGUCCCAGUGAGAUGAACCAGGUACCUCAGUUGGAAAUGCAGAAAUCACCUGUCUUCUGCAUUGAUCACACUGGGAGCUGCAGACCGGAGCUCUUCCUAUUCAGCCAUCUUCCCCUUACAUCCUUUGUUUAGAUUUUAAUGUAGAUAUAGCAGCUUUAUUUUUUUUGUCUUUAUUCAUUUUUAAUUUUUAAUGUCACUUUACCUUUCUAGUAUGUUAAACUAGAUCAGUGGAGGAAAUGCUAACAAUACUUUGAUUUCCUUGGAAAUUUUAUUGAUUAGUCUAAGGAUAAAUAUCUAGAAAAUUUACCUGAGCAUAGUAAAGGGUUUAGUAUAUAUGGCUAUAUAUCUUAAUAUACAUUUGCCAAGAGUUUAAUACUAAGGUUUUAACCCUUUAUACUUUAAAUAGCUCAUUGUGCCAAGAAAGGGAAGUGGAGGAAGAGGAGAAAAAAGGAGAAGAACUUACACUACCUGAUUUCAAGGCUUACUAUAAGGCUGCAGUAAACAAGGAAGUGUGAUAUUGGCAUAAGGCUAAACGUAUAGAUCACUGAAACAAAAUAGAAAGUUCAGAAACAUACAUACACAUAUAUGGUCAAUUAAUUCCAGGGCAAUUCAGUGGGACAAGAUAGUUUUGUUUUGUUUUGUUUUUUCAACAAAUGAUGCCCGACAACUGACAAGUUAUUUUUCAAAAAAGAGAGACAGAGAGAGGGAAGAGAACCUCCACUUUUACCUUGUACUAUGCACAAAAAGUAACUCUAAAAUGGAUACUAAAUUUAUAAAUGUAAAAGCUAAAACUACAAAUCUUGUGAGAAAAUGUACACUGAGACAUGCAACACAUGGAUGAUUCGUAAAAACGUUAUGCUGAGCAAAAUAAGCCAGAUACCAGAGGGUACGUAAAGUUCAUUUAUAGGAAAUUCUAGAAAAAACAAUUCUGAUCUAUAGCGACUGAAAGGAGGAGCCAGGUUUGGGGUGGGGAAUGCCUUAGAAGGGGCAUCAAAGAAACAUUUGGGGUUAUGAAAAUGUUAUCGAGCUUAAUUGUGGUGGUGGUUUCAUGGGUUUAUAAAUUUUUUAAAACUUAUCGACGUGUGCAUUUUAAAUGAAUACAUUUUACUGUAUGUAAAUUAUACCCCAAUAAUGUUGAUUUAACAACACUAUAGAAAACUAGAUUUAGAGUAUAAGUGCAAUACACAGAUAAAUAUAAGAUCUUUAAAAAGGUCAAGAAAAAAUAAACUAUUGAUUAGACCCAAAGCUGACUUUUCAACAGCAACAAAAAAGGAGGACAAUAAACUAUCUUUCGAAUGCUACGAGGAAAUGACUGCUAACCAAUGCUUGUAUGGCUGAUUUAAGAUUACCAUACAAGAAUAAUGAUGAAAUGUAGACAUUUUCAAAUGAACAAAAUCUAAGAGCCUUUACCACUAACAAAUGAUUACUGAAGCACUUCUGAAGAAGGAAACUACAGGAAGAAGGAAAGUGAACACAGAGAAACACAGUGAGAUUCAAGAAGUAUUUGUGUUCAAAUAUAGUCUUAAAAUGUGCUUAUGCCUAAACAAAGAGAUGUCAUAAAAUGAUAUUAUUUAUAAUAUUGAAUUCAGGAAGUUUUAAUAAAAAUAUGUAAUCACAAGGCAGGACAAAAAUAGCUUGUAUGAUAGGGUUUGGAAUUAAGAUAUUUUAAGGUCCUUGCAUUGUUUAGGGAAUAGGCUAUCAUAGUGAUUAACUUUGGCUUUGCUAGUUACAUAGCAAUGUUUUAAAACAAUAAAGGGUAAUUACUAAAAGGGCAAAAAUAGAAUUUCUAACUUCCUUUGGAAAAAAAAACUUAUAAACAUUUAAUAUAUCCCAAAGAAAAUUAAAAAUAAACAAAGCAAAUGCAAGACAGGGAGCAAAAAGGAAGAUGCUAAAAACACAACCAAAUAUCAGUAAUCACAACCAAUGAAAAUAGACUGACUCACCAGUUAAAGACUCAAUUUGAGAAUAGAUAAAAUAAAAUAUUUUUAAAAAUUUAGCUAUAUGGGAAUUUUCUGAAACUAAGGGUUGAGUAACAUGAAAGUUUAAAAUGGAAAAGGAUAUAACAAAGUGCAGCUGCUAUAUCUAUAUUAAUAUCUGAAAGAAAUAACUUUAAGUAAAAAACUUUAAGUAAAAAAAAAAUAUUUGAAGGGUUACUUGAUCUAUUAUCCAAAGGAUAUGUUUGAGAGUGAGAAAGUCCACUCAAUAAUUUCUCAGGGGCACAAGCAUAAACCAGGACUGUCCUUGGAAAAUAAUUAUUAUUGGGAAUAAAUAGCAUCAUUAUAUGACAUGAGAAAGUACAAUUCACAGGAAAAUUUUAAAAUUUUUAAAUGAGUAUAAACCUGUCUUCUUAGCUUAAAAAUUGACAAAAUUACAAAAGAUAUUAAUAAACCCACCAAUAUAGUAUGGGAAAUUUUAACUCAGCUCUCGUAUAAACUGAUAAAUCAGUCAGACAAACAUUAGUAAGACUAUCCAGGAUUUUAACAAAUAAGAGAUACCAGUCAAAGGACACAAAAUUUCAGUUAGGUGGGAGGAAUAAGUUCGAAAGUUCUACUAUACAGCAAGGUGACUAUAGUUUUUUAAAAAAAGAACUGAAAAAGCUUCAUCUAAAUGGACAUUGUGGUUGAUGAGAGAUGGCUGUAGUUCUUUGUUAUUCUUCCCAUUGAGAGGUAGGUCUUCUUCCUUCCCCUUGACUGCUUAGAUCAAUCAAGUACAGUGGAAUUGACAUCAUACUCCUUCAGGGACAAAUCUGUAAGGACUGUCAGCUUUCAUUUUGAUUUUUGGUUGACCUGAGAUGCCAUGUAAGAAGUCCAACUACCCUGUGACCGCUAUGCUAUGAAAAAAUCCAAGUUAGCCACCUAGAGGGGCUUGUGUGGAGAGAAGAGAGAGAUGUCCAGCCAGCCCUUAGCUGUUCUAACCCCCAACCAUCUGAGUCAUCCCAGCUGGGCCCCAGACAUCAAAGACCUGUAUUUGCUGUGCUUUGAAUAAAUUCCUAAUGCCAGAGUCAUAAGAUAUACCACCAACAAAUUGUUGUUACAUCACUAAGUGAUCUGUUAUUGUAGUAAAAUGUACAUAACAUUAAAUUUACCAUUUUAGUCAUUUUUAAGUGUACAUUUCAGUGGCAUUAAGUAAACUCACAUUGUUUUAUAACAAUCACCACCAUCUAUCUCCAGAACUUUUUCUUCUCCCCAAACUGAAGGACCACUAGAUUUUAGAAUAGUUUGUUACACAGAGAAGAAAACCAGAAUAUUUUACCCCAAAAAUGUUUCCUAGACAUAAAAAUUAUUUUUGAGCUGAAGGCAAUUGAAUAGCAACAAAGAGAGGAAAAUCUCUCUCUAUCCCCCGCUGUUCUGCCCAAAGACAGGAUGUAAAUUCUCCUUUACUGGAGAUAACUUAGCAACUCAUUGAUGAAUUGAUUUCUGGAGAGAAGGCACCAGAGAAUCUGCAAACAAACCUCAUUCCAUUAGUUUCUCCCCAUAUAUUCCCUUCCCACAGUUUCCCACCUGUGGAAGGCUAAAACCACUUUCCUUUGUCCUGUCAUUUCUCCACAAAUUUAUUGUUCUUUGUUGAAGAUGCUGUUAAUAAUUUAAGUCAGAGUUCUAAAUAACUGCUUUGAAUUACUUUUCAGGCAGGAUUCUCCCACAUGAUGUGCUCUGCAAGCAUGAAUAAACUUGUUUUUCUCCUCUUAAUCUGCUUUUUGUUAGCGGUGUUCUAGCUAAGAACUAUAAGGGGCUCAGGAGAAAAAUUAUUUUUCCUACUCAACAACAGCAAUAGCUGACCCAAACAGACACACAUAGAAUCUUGUACCUAGUAAUUAGAGAAUUCAAGAGGAAAUACACAAAUAAAACAUACAAAGGGUGCAAAUGAAGAAUUGAAACUGUGUUAUUUGCAAAAAAUUAAUUUCCACAGAGAAAACCCAAAAGAAACUAAUGACAAAUUGUUAAACAUAGUAAUACAUUCAGCAAGUUUAAAUGUAUGAAAAUCAAUUGCAUUCCUCUACAUCAGCAAUAGUUAUACAAUAUAAUUUUUAAAGUAACAUUUAAAAACAAAAAUAAGGUAUCAAAAAUUUACCAAUAGUUGUGCAGACUUUAAGAAAAAUUUAUAAGCCUUUAUUGAUACUUUAAAAGAGACCUACUAAUAUAUCAUGUAUGUGGAUACAAAUACUCGGAACAUAAAGAUAUCAAUUUUCCUUCAAAUUCAUCACAAUUCCAGAUUCCACCAAGUUUUUGUUUUGUUUUGUGGACUUUAACAAAGAAGGAGUCAUUAGAAUCCUUCCAAAGAAAUGAGAGAACAUAGGGCAAAAAUAACCAGGUCACUCUUGAAGAAAAACUACAAAGUGGGACCUCAUCCUGAUAUUAAGACUUAAUAAUAAAAAUAUUAUAAUUACAAUAGUGUGGUAUUAGCAAAAGAAUAGGGAAAAGAGAACAGUGGAAGGAACAAAGAAUCCAGAAACAGAUCCAGGCCCGUAUGGAAACUUGAGAUUUAACAUCAGUGGCAUUGCAGAUCAGUAGGGAAAGAUAAACCAUUUAAUAAAUACUGCUGAGAUGAUGGGUAUCUAUACAGAGGGAAAAAUAAAAUUGGAUUUCUACCUCACAUGAUGUACAAAAUCUGCCUCAAGUAAAGACCAACAUAUACAAAGUAAAAUCUUCAAACUUUUGGAAUAAAGUAUAGAAGAAUAUUUUUGUGCUUUCAGAGUUGGGAAAGAUUUUGAUAUCAAUAAAUAGAAAAUGAAACCUUUAAGGAAAAGAUUAUGAAUCAAUUAGACCACAUUAACAUUUAAAAUGUCUGUGCAUCUAAAGACACCAUUUUAAAAAGUGAGAGAAGACAAACCACUAACUAGAGAAGACAUUUGCAAUGCAUAUUGGCAACAAAUAUUUAGCAUAGAGUAUGUGUACAUAUAUAUAAAAUGUCUACAAAUCCCUACCAAAAAAUCAAAUAGCAAUUAACAUGAACACACAUGAAAAUGCUCAAUCUCACUAGUAAUAGAAUAAUUGUAAAUAAAAAUAGGCCAGGCGCAGUGGCUCACGCCUGUAAUCCCAGCACUUUUGGAGGCCAAGGCGGGCGGAUCACGAGGUCAGGAGAUCGAGACCAUCCUGGCCAACAUGGUGAAACCCCAUCUCUACUAAAAAUACAAAAAUUAGCUGGGCAUGGUGGUGCACGCCUGUAAUCCCAGCUACUCGGAAGGUGAGGCAGGAUAAUCGCUUGAACCCGGG